AGUGAACGCUGGCGGUAGGCCUAACACAUGCAAGUCGAACGGCAGCACAGUAAGAGCUUGCUCUUACGGGUGGCGAGUGGCGGACGGGUGAGGAAUACAUCGGAAUCUACUUUUUCGUGGGUGAUAACGGAGGGAAACUUACGCUAAUACCGCAUACGACCUACGGGUGAAAGCAGGGGAUCUUCGGACCUUGCGCGAUUGAAUGAGCCGAUGUCGGAUUAGCUAGUUGGCGGGGUAAAGGCCCACCAAGGCGACGAUCCGUAGCUGGUCUGAGAGGAUGAUCAGCCACACUGGAACUGAGACACGGUCCAGACUCCUACGGGAGGCAGCAGUGGGGAAUAUUGGACAAUGGGCGCAAGCCUGAUCCAGCCAUGCCGCGUGGGUGAAGAAGGCCUUCGGGUUGUAAAGCCCUUUUGUUGGGAAAGAAAAGCAGCAGGUUAAUACCCCGCUGUUCUGACGGUACCCAAAGAAUAAGCACCGGCUAACUUCGUG
rnacentral:rRNA from 1 species